rnacentral:rRNA from 1 species
AGCGAACGCUGGCGGCAGGCCUAACACAUGCAAGUCGAACGAACUCUUCGGAGUUAGUGGCGGACGGGUGAGUAACACGUGGGAACGUGCCUUUAGGUUCGGAAUAACUCAGGGAAACUUGUGCUAAUACCGAAUGUGCCCUUCGGGGGAAAGAUUUAUCGCCUUUAUAGCGGCCCGCGUCUGAUUAGCUAGUUGGUGAGGUAAAGGCUCACCAAGGCGACGAUCAGUAGCUGGUCUGAGAGGAUGAUCAGCCACAUUGGGACUGAGACACGGCCCAAACUCCUACGGGAGGCAGCAGUGGGGAAUCUUGCGCAAUGGGCGAAAGCCUGACGCAGCCAUGCCGCGUGAAUGAUGAAGGUCUUAGGAUUGUAAAAUUCUUUCACCGGGGACGAUAAUGACGGUACCCGGAGAAGAAGCCCCGGCUAACUUCGUG